GAGAACGCCCAUUUAUACAAACAAAUAUAAGUGGGCAAAAUCAAUACUCAUAAUAAAGACACAAAGACGACUAAAAACCUUAUUAAACUAGAUCCAGUAUGCAGCAUAACAGAAAAGGGGGUAUUUCAAGGAGUAGAGCGAGAAGGUGGUGGAGAAAAGAAAGGAAUAGAAGGAACUGCAGUUGGGAUUGAGGGAAUGCUUGGCAGAGGCGACAGUCCUCUUGGCAAUGUGGUAGGAAGUGGAGGAAGCGCCCCAGGGUUUGGGAGAUAAGGGAAAGAUGGCAAUGGUGGAAAAGAGAAAGGAAUAGGGGGAAUUGCAGUUGGGAUUGUGGGGACUGAGGGAAUGCUUGGCAGAGGGGGCAGUCCUGUUGGGAAUGUGGUAGGAAGUGGAGGAAGCGCCCCAGGCCAUGGGAAUGAUUGUCGGGAUGGCGUUGGGAGAUUAGGGAAAGAUGGUAAACUUUGCGGUUGAGGCUGCUGCAGAAGGUGACGAGCUGCUACCCCAACAUCAAUGCUUGCAAAUGACAAAGCAAUCAAGAAUGCUAAAGCAAGGAAAUUGAAAGAGGCCAUUUUUGUUCAGAGAUUUCGAAACAAAUGAAGCAGAUGAAACAAAGUUCUUUAUCUGAAUAGUUGUGGGUGAAGAAAACAAAGCAUGGUAUUGAGGUUUAUAUAGGCAUUGGAGCAGUGAAUAGAAAUCCCCUGCCCCUAAACAAUGCUCCAUGCAUGCCCCCAAACCAAAAUAGCUCCACAUGUUUUUUAUUUUUUUCAUUUUAAUUUUUUAAAAUAAAAACUCUGUAAUGAUUUGAAUUAAUUUUUAACUUAUUAUCAACGUUUUUAUUUUUGUUUUAUUUUUAUUUUACAUUAAUUUUACCUAUUCUUUAAUUAACAAAUUUAUAAUGACUUAGAGUUAAUUUGAGAGAUUUUUUUUUUAUAAUUGGUCUUAUAAUAAAAUUUUACAAAGCAGAAACAAGUUCCACUGUGAAAACAUGAUCCUUAAAUUUUUGGAGAUAACCAUGUUAAUUUUUUAAUCCCAACCAAAAUUCUAAAUAAUUCUUUUAUGUCAUAUUAAAUACACGUAACGUCUUAUAAAAAUUGUCAAUAAAUUAUGCAUAGUGACAAGGUUAUUCAAAUCUAAUUUCAUUGUUAAUACCUAUUUCUAUUUUUCUUCUACUGUCUUCAACUUUAAAUAUAAAGGGAUUGAAAUUUUAAGAAUUGAGAUUUCUUUUCUCUGUAUUAGUGGACGUUUGAUUUUUUAUUUUAUUUUUUUAUUGGAAUUGAUACAUAUCUUUUCAGAUUUAUCAAUAUAUUUUAAAAUUUUAUAAGAUAUGUAUAUAAAUAUAUUAAAAAUAUAAAAUGAAUGAAACUAAAUACAUUUCACAUAUAAAAUAUUCAUUAAUCAACUUAAGAAAUAAAAAUUUAUCAUUCAAAUAAUCCAAAAUUAUUACUAAUAAUCUCAUUUAAUAUGAAAUUUUAAGGAUUUAGCUCAUUUACUUAAUAAAAGUAGUUGAAAGGUGAAUGAAUAUUUUUUUUAUAAUCGGGUGAAUGGUUUUUUUCUUAAUUAUAUUUUUAAUGUGAAAGUAUAUUCUAAUUUUUUUUAAAAACUUUACAUUCCGAUGUAGCAUUUUUAAUUAGUCACGUUUCAAUUAAGUUUUUAGCAUAAUAGAAAAUAAUUAAAAGUUUAAUAUUUUUAAUAUUAUUCAUGCGCAGGACGGUGCACUAUGUUCUGGCAGGUGUGACUGGAAUUGAUCGGAAUGAGUUGGUGCAAUUGGUACGGACCGAAAUUUUUACCAGUGUAGAAAAAGGGUGUUGGGUGUUUCACAAUAUUAUUGAAAGCAAACCAAAAAGACCAAGAACCGAUGAACCCGAGAACUAGAGUAAACUGCAGUUAAACUACAAAUCAUCUGUCGAUUAAGUCGUAUUUUCACAUUCUUUAAACCGGAAAAACAAAAAUUACACUUCAAAUCCCUUGAGCCAUUGUUAUACUUUUUCUCUGCACUCAAUGAAAUAAAACACAACAUAAAAAAAAUAAGCACCAUCUCUUUUAUUACUUUUACUACUAAAAUAACUUUUUUUUUCUUGUGAAAAACCUAAGAUGGACUUAUAACAUAUAAUAAAAAGGGAAAAAAAAGACAAAUUAGGAAAGAUGAAAGAUGGGGAGAGGGUUUUAAAAUUCAAAGCCGUCAAAAUAGAUGAGUUUGGGGUUAUUAGUAUUAUUUUAUAUUGUUCAAUAGAAAAUUAAUUGUAUCGGUGGUUGAACCUGUGAGAUCAAAAAUUAAUUAAUUGAUUAAUUUAAUUAUCGAUCUAAUUUUAAAAAUAUUAAUAUUUCGGUAUAAAAUUAAUACAGUGCACACAAAUUAAUAUAACCGAAAUCUGUACGAAACCGAGCACCUUAAUUUAAUACAUAAUUUGACAUUCAUAUAAAAUAUUAUCUUGGAAAUAUAUUGAAAGAGGAAAGUAAUCGUAUGUAAAUGGAUAACUUGGAAGAUAUAAUGAAGCAGGAAUCAUUAUAUUAACAGUGGCAUCUUCUCGAUGUACGACUGCUCACUAUUUUGACUGCAUUUAUCGUUUGAUUCUUUUCUUAAUUAGCCAAACUCAUGUUAACAAUGGUAUAACAGUAAUUAAUUACUUCAUGGACAGAACAUCAAUAUAUAAAUACCCCAUAUAUAAUAAGCAACAACGUAUCAAAAUACACCAAAUAAUGGGAAUUGGAGAACGCCCAUUUAUACAAACAAAUAUAAGUGGGCAAAAUCAAUACUCAUAAUAAAGACACAAAGACGAUUAAAAGCCUUAUUAAACUAGAUCCAGUAUGCAGCAUAACAGAAAAUGGGGUAUUUCAAGGAGUAGAGCGAGAAGGUGGUGGAGAAAAGAAAGGAAUAGAGGGAACUGCAGUUGGGAUUGAGGGAAUGCUUGGCAGAGGCGGCAGUCCUCUUGGCAAUGUGGUAGGAAGUGGAGGAAGCGCCCCAGGGUUUGGGAGAUAAGGGAAAGAUGGCAAUGGUGGAAAAGAGAAAGGAAUAGGGGGAACUGCAGUUGGGAUUGUGGGGACUGAGGGAAUGCUUGGCAGGGGGGGUAGUCCUGUUGGCAAUGUGGUAGGAAGUGGAGGAAGCGCCCCAGGCCAUGGGAAUGAUUGUCGGGAUGGAGUUGGGAGAUUAGGGAAAGAUGGUAAACUUUGCGGUUGAGGCUGCUGCAGAAGGUGACGAGCUGCUACCCCAACAUCAAUGCUUGCAAAUGACAAAGCAAUCAAGAAUGCUAAAGCAAGGCAAUUGAAAGAGGCCAUUUUUGUUGAGAGAUUUCGAAACAAAUGAAGCAGAUGAAACAAAGUUCUUUAUCUAAAUAGUUGUGAGUGAGGAAAACAAAGCAUGGUAUUGAGGUUUAUAUAGGAAUUGGAGCAGUGAAUAGAAAUCCCCUGGCCCUAAACAAUGCCCCAUGCAUGCCCCCAAACCAAAAUAGCGCCACAUGUUUUUUAUUUUUUCCAUUUUAAUUGUAGUUCAUUUUUUAAAUAAAAUUUUUUUAAUGAUUUGGAUGAAUUUUUAACUUAUUAUCAACGUUUUUGUUUUUGUUUUAUUUUCUAUUAAUUUUACCUAUUCUUUAAUUAACAAAUUUAUAAUGAAUUGGAAUUAAUUUAACAGUUUUUUUUAUAAUCGUUCUUAUAAUAAAAUUUAAAAAGGUGGGAAUGAGUCCCACAAUGACAACAUGAUCCUUAAAUUUUGGGUGGUGGCAUGCCUUUAGUCAAAGGGUCAGAUAACAUUUGCUCAGUGUUAAUGUGCUCAAUGACGACUUUCUUUUCUUUAACAUGUUUCCUUAUGACUAGAUACUUAAAGUCGAUAGGUUUACUUCGACUUUCACUUUUUUACUCUUAGCCAUAAAGACAGCAAUUGAAUUGUCACAAUAUAUGAAAUAAUUGAAACCUAUAAUGACUCAGCUCAAAAAACUCGAGCCUCAAACCCAAAUUAAAUUAAAUCAAAAUCAUAAUUUAUUAUAUACAAUUGCAUAAAAUUAACAUAUUUUAAGUGUCAUAGUGCAUGUACAGCCCAAAUUUAGCUCGGGCCCCAAAACCUACCCAAACCCAAGUAACCAAUACAACUAGGGUUGAGCAAAAUUCGAUUCGACUCGAAAAAAUUGAAAAAAAAUUCGAAUUUCGAGUUAAACGAAUCGAGUUAUUCGAGUUAAUCGAGUUAUUCGAAUCAACUCGAUUUUUUUUUCGAAUUUCGAGUUCGAAUCGAGUUGAUUUUUCGAAUUCGAAUAACUCGAAUAAUUCGAAUAAUUCGAAUAUCAAAAUAUAAUAUUUUAGAGUUUUACCCUAAACUCCCAAACUUUUUUACUUUUCCCUCAAAACUUUUACUCCUUCCCACUUUUUCCCCAAAACUUUUACUCCCCUCCCCUCCCAACCCCCCAAUCUACCCAAAAUCUAUUUCCCACCAAAAUUUUACUCUUCCAUUCAUUUUUUUUUCCAAAAUUUUACUCUCAAAAACCCUCAAAACCUUUUAUUUUCUCCCAAAAUUUUUACUCCCUCCCACUUUUCCCCUAAAACUUUUAUUCUCUUCCCAUCCCACCUCCCAUCUACCCCAAACCCUCCCCCUCCAAUUUUUUUUUAAUAUUUUCCCUCCAAAAUUUUACUUCCCUUAUUUACUUUCCCUCAAACUUUUAUUCCCCAAAACUUUUUGUUUUCCCCCUAAACUUUUACUUCUCACCCUUUACUCUCAAAUAAAAAAUCAAAAUUAUCCAAAAAAAAUCACUAAACAUAAAUAGUAAUAAUUUUAUUUAUAUAUAAUAUUUAUAUUAUUAAAUUAAAUUUCACAUUUUAUAUUAUUUAUAUUAUUGAAUUGUUUAGUCAUAUUGAAUAUUUAUAUUAAAAUUGAAUUCUUAAUUAUGCCAUAAAAUAUUCGUGUUAAAAUUUUAUAUUGGUAUCAAUUUCAAAUUUUAUUUUUAAAAUAAAUUUUAUUAAAAAAAUCAUAUUUUUAUAUUUAAUAUAUUUUUUAAUUCCAAAAUACAUAGUGACAAGAAUCCGAAGAUAAUUGAAACAACUAAGCAAACAAAUAAGCUAACCAGUAUAUAAAAAAUUAAUAAAUAAAUUAUGAGGUGAUGAAAGUUAAUAAAAAAUUUGAUUAAGGUGGACAAAUUUUAUUACGAUGGGUGACAAUGGUUAUAAGGACCCAAAAUUAUUUUUUAAAAUUUAACUCGAACAAAUAUAUUCGAUUCGAUUCGAUUCGAAUUCCAUCUCACUCAACUCGAUUCGAGAAAACUUCAAAUAAAGUUAGGAUGAUAAAAUGAGAUUCGAAAACUCGAUUAACUCGAAAAUUUUCGAUUCAAUUCGAUUCGAUUCGAUCGAAUGCUCACCCCUAAAUACAACCCAAAUACAGACUAAAAAACCUAAGCCCAAAAACCAGCCCAAUAAGCCCAAAUCUAACCCUAGCCCAGAAACCCAAAUCAGAGACAAAAAAUAAAUUUUUCAAACCCUAGGUGCGCCGCACCUAGGGUUCUCUGCCCCGUUGGCCACCGCAUGCUAGGACCUGCUGCCACCGCCCUUGUCCCAUUUGCCUCUGACGCCUAGCCACUGCCACCGCCGCCUGCAGCACCAACUCCACUGCUCAACCCCUGCAAAAUGAAAACCAAACACGCAAAGCAGAAGCAAAAACAAUGCAAAAUAGUAGAAAAAAUAGAUAAAAAAAUGUAUUGUAAAUUGGCUAUUAAAGCCUGGAUCUCAGCCUUGUAAUCUUUCUUCUUUUGCUUUCACGAACGUUAGAAAAUAAAAACAAAAAAAAAGUUUCAAGAUGAUUAUCUUUAUUAUUUUAGAUUUCGAUUUUAUUUUAUUUUAUUUUCAUUUUAUCUUCUUAUUUUUAAGCACGAAAAUAAAAAAGAAAAGGAGAAAGAAACAUACCUGAAUCAGCCCUUAGAUCCGUCGUUAUCAGCCCUUCGACGCCGUCGGAUUCAGGUUUAGGGAAGGGCUAAGACCCUUUUUUUUUCUCCUUGUUUCCCCAUUCUAAGAUUUUGGUCUUUGAACGCGUUUCAACGCACUGAUCGAGAACGCCCUCUUGCAACGCCGGCCGUCAGCCACGGCGGCGCAAGCGAUGGUCCUGUUGGCUGAAUUUAGAGGGAUCGAGAGAGAGGCUAAGAGCUCUCUUUUUUUUUCUGAAAAAUGAAGUUGGAAAUGUUGUUUUUUUUUGUUUUUUUUACUAUUUAUAUAGGGUAUAAAACGAUGCCAUUUUGGACCUUUACAUCGGUGGCCAAAACGACGUCGUUUUGCCCUGACCCGAGCGGUGACCCGACCCUGGGGGGAGGAUCCGCGUGUUUUCUUAAAAAGGGAUAUUUUCGUGCGCGAUCCAUCUGCUUUUGCAAAGCGUUGCAAUUUGCCCUUUUUUCCUUCUUUUCUUUUAUUUCAAUUUAGCCGCAUAAUUUUAUUUUUGUUUCAUUUUAGUCCCGCGUAAAGUGAUGCAUUUUGAAGGACAGGAUAUUUCCUUUUUGGUCCCCCUGCUUUCCUGCGCAUCACAAAUUAAUCCUUUGCCUAUUUUAUUUUUGAUUUCUCCCCUGGGAUUUUGUUUUGUUUUCAAUUUAGUCCCGUUAUUAUUAUUAUUUAUUAAACUAAUUAGUUUUAUUAUUAUUAUUAUUAUUAUUGCAUUUAUUAUUAUUACCUACCUUAUUAUUAUUAUUUACCCAUUUAUACCGUUUUUAGAUUUUGUUAUAUAUAUACAUACUUACAUAUUUUUAAUUUUUAUAUAUGUACGUACUUAUAUUUUUUAUAUACUUUAUACUUUAUAUAUACAUAUAUACAUACAUAUUUUAAUAUAUUUUUAAACAUAUAUAUACAUUAUCAUUAUUUACUUGUUUAUAUAUAUAUUUUAAACUUUGUUGUAUUUAUACACAUAUAUUUUUAUAUUUUUAUAAUUUUUUUAUUUUCAUUAUUACUAUUAUUGUUUUAUUCAAAAUUUAUUUAUUUAUUUACAUGUCUAUUAUUAUUAUCAUUAUUUUUUUAAUGUUUUAGUUUUUAUUUGUUUAUUACUUGUUAUUGUGUAUACAUGAUUGAUUUUUUUUAUAUUUGUAUUCUUAUUUAUUUAUCUUUCUGUUUUUGCCCAUAUUAUUUUUACUUACAUUAUCAUAAUCGUUAUUCCAUUACAUCAAUUUUUACCCAGAUUCGUAAAAAAGAAAAUUUUGAAAAUAAAGGCAAUACUCAGUAUUUGGGAUUUUCGAGAGGAUUGAGCCCUAACGCAUUGGGUUCCAAUUUUCUUCGUUGAAUCUAAAUAAUCGAGAACGCUCUUUAAUCAAAAAACAUAAAUAAAAAGUUCAUUAUCGAGAAUUCAAUACGUUGUGUCCUAACGCAUUGCAUAUGACACGUUCUUUUCUCGAAAUAAUGAUUUUUCUAAAAAAUAAUAAAGGCAAUAUUCAAUGUUUAGAAUUUGAGAAAUUGUGCCCUAACAUAUUGGGUUGCGAUUUUUUCAUCUGACUUAAACAAUUGAAUAUCCUUUUAAAUUUUAUUGCACGAGUUUUUUGGGCAAAUUCAUUCUUGAGGAGGUGAAAUAUCAUGCCCUAACUCAUUGGGUGUGACAUUUUCUCUCUCCGAAAUGAGAGGGUCUUAACGGGUAAUUUGAUUUAUACAAGUUUUUUUAAUAAAUGAUUGUAUUUUAAAUCUCUUUAGAGUUUCUAAUUCUCGACACCAAGACACUAAAUAAUCAACUACGUACCAAUCUUGGGCGUUACGAGGGUGCUAAUCCUUCCUCACAUGUAAUCGACUCUCGAACCCAUUUUUCUGAAUUUAGUGGACCAAGAUCGUUGUUUUAAUAAAAUCAAAUCGUUUAUUAAAAACAACCACUUUUUAAGGUGGCCCAAUCACACCUCAUCAAAAAAGAUUUGUGGCAACUCCCAUUUUCGUUUCAUUUUCAAAACCCAAGUCGACCCCAUUUUCACAAAAAAUUGGUGUCAACAAUGCACAUUAAAUUAAAGUUUAUGUUUGACAUUAUAGAUUGAAGCAAUAUUCAUGUGUAAAAUUUUGAGAUUUAUUUCCUUAAUUAAAGUAAUAUUUCAAAUAGAAUACUUAAACAAUCCUCCAUGUUGGCAAACUUUAUGUACAUUAGAAACAAACUAAAUAAUUAGAAUAAAUCUAAAGUAUGGCUUACAUUUAAUUUAUUCACAAUGUGACUUAAACUUUGGCCUUCAAGAUUUCACGGUCUCAAAUUAUGUCUUAAAAAUUUUAAGAUCAUUUUAGCUUUGUUAAAAAAAAUCAAAAGUUUAGAAAGUUAGAAUUGUUGCUUGAGGCGUGAAUAUCCCUAGUCUUUAGGAUAUUCAUGGAUUUACUAUCUCUCAAGAUUUAAUUUGUAUCAUGCACAAUGAAAAAAUUUAAAAAAAAAUUUCCCAUUUGAAUGGAAUUGAGCUAUUAGGCUCAAGCCUCGUGUGCGCAUAUAUAUUCUCUUAUUUUGAGUCUUACAAGUUUAUAAUAAACCAAAUCUAUAUAAACGUCAUUUAACAAGUGUAUCUAAAAUAUGUUUAAUAUGUGUCAUUCUUUAAAAUACAUGAAAACUUCAAAUAUGGUUUAGGUCAUUUUCAGAUUUGUCUUAUUUUAGGUUCAAAUCAUUCGAAUUUGAGGCUAAGUUUUUCAUGUCUAAUCAUUAUUAAUCCGAAUCAUUUUAGAUUUUGAUCAGUUUAAGUUUCAAUUAUUUUGUGAUCAAAUUAUUUUAAGUUUAGAUAAAUUUGGGUCAAUUCGAAUUUGACUUAAUUACGUAAUUACCUUUUUUUUUAUAAUAAAUUGAGCUGACUGAAAUUUAGAUUGGAAUUUAUUUAGUGUGCCUUUGUGUUUAAGUUGAAAUUUAAACAUCUGUAUUAGAAAUACACAUGUUAAUACAAUUUUAUGUUAAAGACAAUAAUACGACAGAGUUGAUUUGGGAGAUAAACAUGUUAAUUUUUUAAUCCCAACUAAAAUUGUACAUAAUUCUUUUAUGUCAUAUUAAAUACAUGUAUAAAAAUUGUCAAUAAAUUAUGCCUAGCGACAACGUUAUUCAAAUCUAAUUUCAUUGUUAAUACCUAUUUCUAUUUUUCUUCUAUUGUCUUCAACUUUAAAUAUGAAGGAAUUGAAAUUUUAAGAAUUGAGAUUUCUUUUCUUUGUAUUAGUGGACGUUUGAUUUUUCGUUUGAUUUUUUUACUAGAAUUGAUGCAUAUCUUUUCAGAUUUAUCAAUAUUUUUUAAAAUUAUUUAAGAUAUGUAUAUAAAUAUAUUACAAAUAUAAAAUGAAUGAAACUAAAUGCAUUUCAAAUUUAAAAUAUUCAUUAAUAAACUUAAUAAAUAAAAAUUUAUCAUUCAAAUAAAUCCAAAAUUAUUAAUAAUAAUCCAUCAUUUAAUAUGAAUGGAUAUUUUUUUAUUUGAUGAUCGGGUGAAUGGUUUUUUCUUAAUUAUAUCUUGAAUGUGAAAGUAUAUUCCAUUUUUUUUUAAAUUUACAUUCCGAUGAAGCAUUUUUAAUUAGUCAAAUUUCAAUUAAGUUUUUAGCAUAAUAGUAAAUUAUUAAAAGUUUAAUAUUUUAAAUAUUAUUCAUGCACAGGACGGUGCACUAUGUUCUGGCAGGUGUGACUGGAAUUGAUCGGAAUGAGUUGGUGCAAUUGGUACAGACCGAAAUUUUUACCAGUGUAGAAAAAUGGUGUUGGGUGUUUCGCAAUGUUAUCGAAACCAAACCAAACAGACCAAGAACCGAUGAACCCGAGAACUAGAGUAAACUGCAGUUAAAUUGCAAAUCAUCAGCUGAUUAAGCCGUAUUUUCACAUUUUCUAGAUUGGAAAAACAAAAAUUUCACUUCAAAUCCCUUGAGCUUUUGUUACACUUCUUCUCUUAACUCAAUGAAAUAAAACAAACCAUAAAAAGAAUAAGCACCGUUUCUUUUAUUACUUUUUCUAUUAAAAUAUUAUUUUUUUUCUCGUGAAAAACCUGGACUUAUAACAUUCAAUCAAAGGAAAAAAAAGACAAAUUAGGAAAGAUGAAAGAUGGGGAGAGGGUUUUAAAAUUUAAAGCCUUCAAAAUAGAUGAGUUUAGCGUUAUUAAUAUUAUUUUAUAUUAUUCAAUAGAAAAUUAAUUGUAUCGGUGGUUGAACCUGUGAGAUCAAGAAUUAAUUAUUUGAUUAAUUUGAUUAUCGAUUUAAUUUUAAAAAUAUUAAUAAUUCGAUACAAAAUUAAUAUAGUGCAGACAAAUUAAUAUAACAGAAAAUUGUACGAAACGAGCACCUUAAUUUAAUACAUAAUUUGACAUUCAUAUAAAAUAUUAUCUUGGAAAUAUAUUGAAAGAAGAAAGUAAUCGUAUGUAAAUGGGUAACUUGGAAGAGAUGAUGAAGCAGGAAUCAUUAUAUUAAAAGUGGCAUCUUCUCGAUGUACGGCUGCUCACUAUCUUGACUGCAUUUAUCGUUUGAUUCUUUUCUUAAUUAGCCAAACUCAUGUUAACAAUGGUAUAACAGUAAUUAAUUACUUCAUGGACAGAACAUCAAUAUAUAAAUACCCCAUAUAUAAUAAGCAACAACGUAUCAAAAUACACCAAAUAAUGGGAAUUGGAGAACGCCCAUUUAUACAAACAAAUAUAAGUGGGCAAAAUCAAUACUCAUAAUAAAGACACAAAGACGACUAAAAACCUUAUUAAACUAGAUCCAGUAUGCAGCAUAACAGAAAAGGGGGUGUUUCAAGGAGUAGAACGAGAAGGUGGUGAAGAAAAGAAAGGAAUAGAGGGAACUGCGGUUGGGAUUGAGGGAAUGCUUGGCAGAGGCGGCAGUCCGCUUGGCAAUGUGGUAGGAAGUGGAGGAAGCGCCCCAGGGUUUGGGAGAUUAGGGAAAGAUGGCAAUGGUGGAAAAGAGAAAGGAAUAGGGGGAAUUGCAGUUGGGAUUGUGGGGACUGAGGGAAUGCUUGGCAGAGGGGGUAGUCCUGUUGGCAAUGUGGUAGGAAGUGGAGGAAGCGCCCCUGGCCAUGGGAAUGAUUGUCGGGAUGGCGUUGGGAGAUUAGGGAAAUAUGGUAAACUUUGCGGUUGAGGCUGCUGCAGAAGGUGACGAGCUGCUCCCCCAACAUCAAUGCUUGCAAAUGACAAAGCAAUCAAGAAUGCUAAAGCAAGGCAAUUGAAAGAGGCCAUUUUUGUUCAGAGAUUUCGAAACAAAUGAAGCAGAUGAAACAAAGUUCUUUAUCUGAAUAGUUGUG
rnacentral:lncRNA from 1 species